AGUGAACGCUGGCGGUAGGCCUAACACAUGCAAGUCGAACGGCAGCACAGUAAGAGCUUGCUCUUACGGGUGGCGAGUGGCGGACGGGUGAGGAAUACAUCGGAAUCUACUUUUUCGUGGGGGAUAACGUAGGGAAACUUACGCUAAUACCGCAUACGACCUACGGGUGAAAGCAGGGGAUCUUCGGACCUUGCGCGAUUGAAUGAGCCGAUGUCGGAUUGGCUAGUUGGCGGGGUAAAGGCCAACCAAGGCGACGAUCCGUAGCUGGUCUGAGAGGAUGAUCAGCCACACUGGAACUGAGACACGGUCCAGACUCCUACGGGAGGCAGCAGUGGGGAAUAUUGGACAAUGGGCGCAAGCCUGAUCCAGCCAUACCGCGUGGGUGAAGAAGGCCUUCGGGUUGUAAAGCCCUUUUGUUGGGAAAGAAAAGCAGCAGGUUAAUACCCCGCUGUUCUGACGGUACCCAAAGAAUAAGCACCGGCUAACUUCGUG
rnacentral:rRNA from 1 species